rnacentral:rRNA from 1 species
UACGUAGGGUGCAAGCGUUGUCCGGAAUUAUUGGGCGUAAAGAGCUCGUAGGCGGUUUGUCGCGUCGACUGUGAAAACUCGAGGCUUAACCUCGAGCCUGCAGUCGAUACGGGCAGACUAGAAUUCGGUAGGGGAGACUGGAAUUCCUGGUGUAGCGGUGAAAUGCGUAGAUAUCAGGAGGAAUACCGAUGGCGAAGGCAGGUCUCUGGGCUGACACUGACGCUCAUGCACGAAAGCGUGGGGAGCGAACAGG